AGUGAACGCUGGCGGUAGGCCUAACACAUGCAAGUCGAACGGCAGCACAGUAAGAGCUUGCUCUUACGGGUGGCGAGUGGCGGACGGGUGAGGAAUACAUCGGAAUCUACUUUUUCGUGGGGGAUAACGUAGGGAAACUUACGCUAAUACCGCAUACGACCUACGGGUGAAAGCAGGGGAUCUUCGGACCCUGCGCGAUUGAAUGAGCUGAUGUCGGAUUAGCUAGUUGGCGGGGUAAAGGCCCACCAAGGCGACGAUCCGUAGCUGGUCUGAGAGGAUGAUCAGCCACACUGGAACUGAGACACGGUCCAGACUCCUACGGGAGGCAGCAGUGGGGAAUAUUGGACAAUGGGCGCAAGCCUGAUCCAGCCAUACCGCGUGGGUGAAGAAGGCCUUCGGGUUGUAAAGCCCUUUUGUUGGGAAAGAAAAGCAGCAGGUUAAUACCCCGCUGUUCUGACGGUACCCAAAGAAUAAGCACCGGCUAACUUCGUG
rnacentral:rRNA from 1 species